UACCACAUUUGAUGCACAUAACAGUAGU
rnacentral:piRNA from 1 species